GGGCUUUACUCGAAGUGGAGAGCCCGCUCGGAAUUCCCCGGCAAUUUGUGCUGGACAUUGCGGUCGAUCACUUUCGGCGCGAAUGCGAAGUCGCCUGGAUCAAGGAAAAGCGGCUCGGUGUCGUUUUCCGAGGAGGCUGAUCGAUAGAUUGGUGGAUGGGGAGCAGAGCUUCCAAUGUUGAAACUAGCCCUAGCGUUGGCGUUUUGUCUUGCCGCUGCGGACGCACA
rnacentral:misc_RNA from 1 species